ACAACAUAAGACCUUAAUAAGCCCUUUCAUUUGGUACCUGUGUGUUAAAUGUAGUCAUGUGAUGUGGCUCAGGGAGGAGGGACUCGGUGUUCACAGAUCUGACAUGAUCUAAUGUGUCUGACAGACUGAGAAGAGACUGAGAAGACAGAGACUCUUCUCAGAGUGAACACUUGUACAAUGGAUCUUCAUUCAGUUAUUCUGUUCUGUGCCUCAGCAGCUGUUGUCUUUGGAAAUACUAUCAGUCCAGAUACAACAGAUGUUGGUGCUGAUGAGGGUCAAAAAGCUACACUGUCCUGCAGUUAUUCCUCCUCUGGGGGUACAGAUUAUCUCUUCUGGUACCGUCAGUAUGGAAGAUCAAAACCUGAGUUUCUUGUAGCCACAUACAGUACUGCAAAAGUGCCUGAGGUAUCUGGAGUAGAUUCAAGAUUUUCUGUUAAAGUAACAAAAAUGGAAAAAAUCCAUGUGGAUCUGGAGAUCUCCUCUGCUGCUGUAUCAGACUCUGCUCUGUACUACUGUGCUCUGAGGCCCACAGUGACAGGAAACACAUCAACACUGUACAAAAACCUUUCCUUAUUUAAUCCAGUUAGAACAAGCAAUAGAUAGAGAGUCAAAGAUUAAAAGAGAAUCU